AGUUUUGCACAGUGGCAGUAUUGUAGCCAAUGAGGUUUAUCUGAGGCGCAAUAAUUGCUAAUUGAAAAACACAUCCAUGUUUUACCC
rnacentral:snRNA from 1 species